UACGUAGGGAGCAAGCGUUGUCCGGAAUCAUUGGGCGUAAAGCGCGCGUAGGCGGCUCGAUCAGUCUGUUGUGAAAGUCAAAGGCUCAACCUUUGAAUGCCGAUGGAUACUGUCGAGCUAGAGUCCGGAAGAGGCGGGUGGAAUUCCUGGUGUAGCGGUGGAAUGCGCAGAUAUCAGGAGGAACACCAACGGCGAAGGCAGCCCGCUGGGACGGUACUGACGCUGAGGUGCGAAAGCGUGGGGAGCAAACAGG
rnacentral:rRNA from 1 species